CACUGGAAAGUAAAGUAAAGAUUUGUUGAGAUUGGGUUGAUACUUGAGUUCAAUUCAAAUUCCUUGGGUAUCAGUUGGUCCCAUUCACUAUAAUGGAAACCUGCAAAAAUGUUUUGAUUCAGUUGACUUUGUUAACGUUUUCUGGGAAGUGGAUUUGAUAGUUAUACCAGAGAGUUAUGGUCUUAGUGUAGUCUUAUCCUCCUAAUUACACGCUGAUGCAAAGUAUACCAUUGCUGUGUUAUCAGGUUUGCACUGGAGCAAAAAGUGAACAGCAAUCUAAACUUGCAGCUAGAAAGUAUGCUCGUAUAAUCCAGAAGCUUGGCUUUCCUGCAAAAUUCAAGGACUUCAAGAUCCAGAAUAUUGUUGCCUCUUGUGAUGUCAAAUUCCCUAUCAGGCUUGAGGGCCUCGCAUAUUCCCAUGGCGCUUUCUCAAGUUAUGAGCCAGAGCUAUUUCCUGGUCUGAUUUACCGGAUGAGGCAGCCAAAGAUUGUCCUCCUAAUUUUUGUUUCUGGCAAGAUUGUUCUGACUGGAGCAAAGGUGAGAGAAGAGACAUACACUGCCUUCGAGAACAUAUAUCCUGUCCUGACGGAGUUCAGAAAAGUGCAGCAAUGAUGGUAUAAUUCCUGAGAGUGCAUGUUUAAUGGACAUUGCUAUGUUGGGAAUAGGAUAGGAAAUGCCAUGUUCCAUUGACAAGUUGGGCCACUAAAGGUGACUUUUUAAGUACGCAGAAUUGGAGAUAUUGUUGCUUGCUGCCAGCUCCAACCUCACAAAGUCUAGGCAUAGCCUGUCUUCCGGUGGAACCUAUAUAUAUAUUACUGUCCAUCAGAUUUAAAGUACCUGUUGUCGUAAUCGACUAGGGUCUUCUUUUUGUGAUGGAUCAUGGUUGAUCAUCGCAGGGCCUAUUCUGUCAUCGUUCCUCACUCGAAACACUCUUGUGGAAGUUGAGUAAAACCCAAGCAAAUUUUGCUCCUGGAUUCUAGAGCCUUUUUCUCCUGAUGAUGAAAAGGCCAGCUAAUGUAUAUGUACUUGUAGACGCUUUUGCGCCCUGUUAAAAAGAGGGCUUCAUGUCGAGCCAGAUAGCAAGAGGAAGUUUGUGUUAUUUCUA